UAUUUGUAAGGGUUGUCAACUCGCAGUA
rnacentral:sRNA from 1 species